GCCACACCCAACCAACUUCCCCCAAAUCCCCCUCCACCACUGACCGUGCCGGCCGCCCUAGAUCGACCCGAGCACUACCGCCGGCGUCCCCCACAACCGCAGCCCUGCCGCCGGCGUCCCCACCACCGCACCCCCAUCGCCAGCGUCCCCCACCACCACAGCCCUGCCGCCUCCCCUAGCUACCCCACCACCACAGGCCACCCUAGAUCCUGAGUUCUGCAGCCGACAGCCCGCAUCAACACAGCCCCGCCACCGCAGGCAGCCCUCCACCCUAACGGUCCGAUCACUGCCGCCUUUGCCCCCAACCACCCCACAUCAGCGCUAACGAGCACGGAGCACCCCCACAGACGACCACUAUCACCGAGCGACUCCACCACCGAACGCCUCCCCAAGCAGGGCUUCCCCUCCACCUGAGCAGGCAAGGAUCGAGCGGGACUGCCUCCUCGACGUCCUCUCCGAUCCACCAAGCAGCAGAGUGUCCCUCUUCUCCCAUGACCAACUCACUACCAUAUCAACAUCCUAUGUCUGCCUCCUCUGCCCCAUCAAGAGCAUUUGUGGCGGUGGGGACGACCCAAUUCAUGAGGAUGUAGAUCCAGGGAGCAUUGACCCUCUUCUAAAAGAAAAAGAAGCGUGAUGCGGAUGCUUUUCGACAAUUCAUAGCUGAUGAUAGCGAGGAGCUUUAUCCAGGGUGCAUACAACCUUCUUAAAGCUACGUUUUGUUGUUAGGCUACUCCAUAUCAAAUCUCUUGGAGGAAAAAGAAUGGAAUAAGAAAGAGACUAAGACAAUGUUCAAGAACGAGCGGAAGAGAGGCUAGCGAGAAUUAGAACAAGAAACGACGAGGAUUUUGAAUGAUUUAGCCGCCUUACAUUUUCAAAUAUAAAUGAAGAAUUUGGAGGCCCAUCUAGUCAGCGACAAACUAAAAGGAAGAAGCUGUAGGCUUCCCAAAGGUGCACAAGUUCACUAAGGUUUGGAGGAUCUUCAAGCUGCUGAAGAUUUAGAAGAUCUACAAUGUCCCGCGUCUUUUUUUUAACCUAGACAUUUGCUCUACUCAUUUUGGUGGUGGUUUGGUUGCGUGGCACUACUUUAGUUUGGUUGUGGGGUAAACAUAUAUAUGUACUCCUUUCAUGGCACAACCUCUGUAUAUAUUGUCGUUAUGUUUAUCAAAUGAAGUUUAAGGUUUUUGAUGAAGCCUAUAUGUUA